AGAGGAAGACAUUGCCAGUGAGACAGUGGGGGAUAAGCUUCAUUGUCAAGAGGGAAACAGCCCAGACCACCAGCUAAGGUCCCCAAAUCAUCACUAAGUGAUAAAGGAGGUGAGAAUGCCUAGACAACUAGGAGGUUUGCCUAGAAGCAGCCACCCUUGAAAGAGUGCGUAAUAGCUCACUAGUCAAGCGUUCUCGCGCCGAAAAUGAACGGGGCUAAGUGAUGUACCGAAGCUGUGGGAUUACUAAUAAUAAUCGGUAGGGGAGCGUUCCGUCGUAGGGAGAAGCAGUAGCGGCAAGCAGCUGUGGACGAAACGGAAGUGAGAAUGUCGGCUUGAGUAGCGCAAAUGUAUGUGAGAAUCAUACACCCCGAAACCCUAAGGGUUCCAGAGCCAGGUUCGUCCACUCUGGGUUAGUCGGGACCUAAGGCGAGGCCGAACGGCGUAGUCGAUGGACAAAGUGUCAAUAGUCACUUACUGUUCUGUGGGAGCAUAGACAGGGACGCAUGAAAGAUAGCCAUACCCUGAUUGGUUUGGGAGGAGUUUACGAACUCCGAGUGGUGAAGGAAAGUGCCAAGAAAAGCUGUGUAUGUGAUGAAGAUAGAACACCCGUACCCGAAACCGACACAGGUAGGGAGGUUGAGAAUACCAAGGGGCGCGAGAUAACUCUCUCUAAGGAACUCGGCAAAAUGGCCCCGUAACUUCGGAAGAAGGGGUGCCCACUGAAUAAGUGGGUCGCAGUGAAGAGAUCCAAGCGACUGUUUACCAAAAACACAGGUCUCCGCCAACUCGCAAGAGGACGUAUGGGGGCUGACGCCUGCCCAGUGCCGGAAGGUUAAGG
rnacentral:rRNA from 1 species